rnacentral:rRNA from 1 species
CGUAAAGAGCUCGUAGGUGGUUUGUCGCGUUGUUCGUGAAAUCUCACGGCUUAACUGUGAGCGUGCGGGCGAUACGGGCAGACUUGAGUACUGCAGGGGAGACUGGAAUUCCUGGUGUAGCGGUGGAAUGCGCAGAUAUCAGGAGGAACACCGGUGGCGAAGGCGGGUCUCUGGGCAGUAACUGACGCUGAGGAGCGAAAGCGUGGGGAGCGAACAGGAUUAGAUACCCUGGUAGUCCACGCCGUAAACGGUGGGUACUAGGUGUGGGUUUCCUUCCUUGGGAUCCGUGCCGUAGCUAACGCAUUAAGUACCCCGCCUGGGGAGUACGGCCGCAAGGCUAAAACUCAAAGAAAUUGACGGGGGCCCGCACAAGCGGCGGAGCAUGUGGAUUAAUUCGAUGCAACGCGAAGAACCUUACCUGGGUUUGACAUGCACAGGACGCCGGCAGAGAUGUCGGUUCCCUUGUGGCCUGUGUGCAGGUGGUGCAUGGCUGUCGUCAGCUCGUGUCGUGAGAUGUUGGGUUAAGUCCCGCAACGAGCGCAACCCUUGUCUCAUGUUGCCAGCGGGUAAUGCCGGGGACUCGUGAGAGACUGCCGGGGUCAACUCGGAGGAAGGUGGGGAUGACGUCAAGUCAUCAUGCCCCUUAUGUCCAGGGCUUCACACAUGCUACAAUGGCCGGUACAAAGGGCUGCGAUGCCGCGAGGUUAAGCGAAUCCUUUUAAAGCCGGUCUCAGUUCGGAUCGGGGUCUGCAACUCGACCCCGUGAAGUCGGAGUCGCUAGUA